GUCAGCACCUACGGCCCCCUCCCCAGCUGGGAGGCCGGAGUGGCCAGCAGCCCCUCCCUCAAAGCCGGCCCUGCAGCCGUGGAGGGGUGGGGAGCAGGGGCAAGCCUCCCAUUUCCUGCUGCUUCCGAUUUUCCUCUGGAGUGGGGAGGAGGUAUCCUCAGCAGCCCUGGAAGAGAUACGGGCCAGCAGACGGGUGCCAGAAUUUUGCUUCGCCUGCACCGCUACAGAACUGCAGAAAGCCAGCUGGGUUUUUCCUUCUUCCCCUGUUCAAUUGGCAGCCUCACCGAUAGCUCGGAACCCCAGCAGAAUAAGGCCCUUGGGCUGAAACAGACCAGCAAAAGCUGCGACUAAGGAGAGUCAGCAGAAGCCUGGUGCAUCUGUGGAAAUGUGGACAGCACAGCAGCCAUUCCUGGGUCACUAGCCCUUGUGUUGCCCAUGAGGACCAGUGAAGGGGAGGAGACAACCCCACCCUGCUAAGGAGGGCCCCUGAGCAGCACAGGAUCCCUGGAGGUCCAGCUGCCAGCAGCAGCCAGGGGUACUUUUGACCAGCAGCAACCCCUCUCCUUGAUGCUCAGGAUCCAGCCACCCCACGAUCACUUCCACAAGGCUGGGACGUUGCAAGGGGCUCAGAACUGGAAGGAAGAAUUAGAAUCAGAAGGAAUUCCUUCCUUAGAACUGGAAGUGGCUUGCAGACACAAAGUUCAACGAAACAAUGUACAAAAAAGCAGAAAACGGGAAAAUGAGCACGAGAUUAUUUUUUUUUAAUCCAACCAGAUGUGAGAAGGCCUGCUGUGUCUCUAACUAGCAUCUAUCUAAGUGCAUCUCUUGAAACGCCAUAGAGAUGCUUAAGAUCUUAGGGAGCAAUGUCUGCCCUCUCAGUGUCCCUGGUCCCUCAGAGGGGUAUCUGUGUGGGUGGGGGAGGCUUGGCUUUGCAUGUUCAAAUCCUGCCCACAAGUAGGGCAAAGCACCCUCAACAUGCCCUCUUGCCCAGACGGCCAAGACUUUUGCAUUGCAUUGCUCUUUCCUUCCACUGCCUGUAUUAUAAUGCUUCUGUUUUAUUGCUGCUCAUUUGCAUAUCACUCAAAUUAAACUUUUUAUUAGGA